rnacentral:rRNA from 1 species
GACGAACGCUGGCGGCGGGCCUAAUACAUGCAAGUAGAACGCAGUUGCGAACGGGUGAGUAAAGCGUAGGUAACCGCCUCAUAGCGGGGGAUAACCAUUGGAAACGAGAGCUAAUACCGGAUACAGUGAGAUGGACCUGCGUUGGAUUAGCUAGUUGGUGAGGGAAAGGCUCACCAAGGCGACGAUACAUAGCCGGCCUGAGAGGUUGAUCGGCAACACGGGGACUGAGACACUGCCCAGACUCCGACGUGAGGCAGCAGUCGGGAAUCUUCGGCAAUGGGCGGAAGUCUGACCGAGCAAUGCCGCGUGAGUGAAGAAGGUUUUCGGAUCGUAAAGCUCGGUUGUUAGAGAAGCGUUAACUAACCAGAAAGGGACGGCUAACUACGUGCCAGCAGCCGCGGUAAUA